AUAUUGAGAUGACUGAUGUGGGUCAACCAACACCAACUUCAACUCCAACAACAACAACUGAACAACCCUCCCUGUGUUUUGAUGAAACCGGUGAUCUUGAAGAAGACCCCCGCUUUGCUGAAGACGUGGAGAACCUUACCGACUCAUUUUCAAAUGUUUUCUCUCAUCCCGCUACCGUCCCGCCUCUCAACACGAGUGAGCCCUCG
rnacentral:ribozyme from 1 species